rnacentral:lncRNA from 1 species
UAAAAUGUAGUAUUCUAGCUGGACUUUGACAAAUAGGCAAGGUUGCAGUUUGAGUUGAUGGUUAGCACGUUUGUAGAGUGCUGGGUUGAGUUGGAGCAGUUUUGACGCAAAAUGGACAUGAAAACAGAUUUCGAAAAGUUGAAAUAGAUUGGAACUUAAGUUUUAGAGCUUUUUGAAUGCCCGAAAAUAGUUUAGGGCGCCCAAAAGUCACUGGCUAAGGAGCUGGAGAUUCGGAGCGUAGUUAAGGACGUAGUAGGUGGAUUCGAAAGUUGAGUAUAGUUGGGUUGCGGGUGCCCGAUUGUUACUGCAACGGCUCGGAUGUUAGGUAAGGUUGAUUUGACCGUGACGGUGUGCACGUGAGUCGG